rnacentral:rRNA from 1 species
UACGUAGGUGGCAAGCGUUUGUCCGGAUUUAUUGGGUUUAAAGGGUGCGUAGGCGGCCCUGUAAGUCAGUGCUGAAAUAUCCCGGCUUAACCGGGAGGGUGGCAUUGAUACUGCGGGGCUAGAGUACAGAUGAGGUAGGCGGAAUUGACGGUGUAGCGGUGAAAUGCUUAGAUAUCGUCAAGAACACCUAUAGCGAAGGCAGCUUACUAGGCUGUAACUGACGCUGAGACGCGAAAGCGUGGGGAGCAAACAGG